AGUGAACGCUGGCGGCGUGCUUAACACAUGCAAGUCGAACGAGAACGGAUUAUAGCUUGCUAUAAUUGUCAGCUAAGUGGCGCACGGGUGAGUAAUGUAUAGGUAAUAUGCCUCAUACUAAGGGAUAACAAAUGGAAACGUUUGCUAAUACCUUAUACUCCUUAUUAACAGAAGUUAAUAAGGGAAAGAUUUAUUGGUAAGAGAUUAGCCUGUAUUGUAUCAGUUAGUUGGUGGGGUAAUGGCUUACCAAGACUAUGACACAUAACUGGUUUGAGAGUAUGAUCAGUCACACUGGAACUGAGACACGGUCCAGACUCCUACGGGAGGCAGCAGUGGGGAAUAUUGCACAAUGGACGAAAGUCUGAUGCAGCAACGCCGCGUGGAGGAUGACACAUUUCGGUGCGUAAACUCCUUUUAUAUGAGAAGAUAAUGACGGUAUUAUAUGAAUAAGCACCGGCUAACUCCGUGCCAGCCGCCGCGGUAA
rnacentral:rRNA from 1 species